rnacentral:lncRNA from 1 species
UCCUCCUCCUCCUCCUCCUCCUCCUCCUCCCCCCCCGGGGGUGGGGCCGGCGCGGGGGGAGCCUUCGGGGGCAUCUUCGUCAUCCUCGGCGUUGGAAGAGCCCUUCAGCGGCGGCGUCAACGUCAACGUUUUGAAGAGCCCGCCCAUUGUUGUUGGCCUUGGAAGAGCCCCGUGGUCAUCGUCAGCGUGAUGAAGAUCUCCCAUCAUCAUCGUCAUCAUUGGAAGAGCCUUCGUCAUCAUCAUCGUCAUCAUCAUCAUCAUCAUCAUCAUCUUCAUCAUCAUCGGCGUUGGAAGAGCCCUUCGGCGGCGUCAUCACUGUCGGCGUCAACGUUUUGAAGAGCCCGCCCAUUGUUGUCGGCCUUGGAAGAGCCCCGUGGUCAUCGUCAGUGUGAUGAAGAUCUCCCAUCAUCAUCGUCAUCAUAGGAAGAGCCUUCGUCAUCAUCAUCAUCAUCAUCUUCAUCAUCGUCAGCGUUGGAAGAGCCCUUCAUUGUCAACGUCAUUGUCGGCGUCAACGUUUUGAAGAGCCCGCCCAUUGGUGUCGGCCUUGGAAGAGCCCCGUCGUCAUCGUCGGCGUGAUGAAGAUCUCCCAUCAUCAUCGUCAUCAUUGGAAGAGCCUUCCUCCUCAUCAUCAUCAUCGUCAUCAUCGUCAACGUUGGAAGAGCCCUUCAUCGUCGUCGUCAUUGUCAACGUCAACGUUUUGAAGAGCCCGCCCAUUGGUGUCGGCCUUGGAAGAGCCCCGUCGUCAUCGUCAGCGUGAUGAAGAUCUCCCAUCAUCAUCGUCAUCAUUGGAAGAGCCUUCCUCCUCAUCAUCAUCAUCUUCAUCAUCGUCAACGUUGGAAGAGCCCUUCAUCGUCGUCGUCAUUGUCGGCGUCAACGUUCUGAAGAGCCCGCCCAUUGGUGUCGGCCUUGGAAGAGCCCCGUCGUCAUCGUCAGUGUGAUGAAGAUCUCCCAUCAUCAUCGUCAUCGUCAUCAUCAUCUUCAUCAUCAUCAUCUUCAUCAUCAUCGGCGUUGGAAGAGCCCUUCGGCGGCAUCAACGUUUUGAAGAGCCCGCCCAUUGUUGUUGGCCUUGGAAGAGCCCCGUCGUCAUCGUCGGCGUGAUGAAGAUCUCCCAUCAUCAUCGUCAUCAUUGGAAGAGCCUUCGUCAUCAUCAUCAUCGUCAUCAUCAUCAUCAUCUUCAUCAUCGUCAACGUUGGAAGAGCCCUUCAGUGGCGGCGGCAUCGUCAUCGGCGGCGUCGGCGGCGUUGUCGGCGUCAACGUUUUGAAGAGCCCGCCCAUUGGUGUCGGCCUUGGAAGAGCCCCGUGGUCAUCGUCGGCGUGAUGAAGAUCUCCCAUCAUCAUC